UUGAAUGACGGUAGCGACACGUCGCUUUUUGACGCAACAACGCCACCUUGACCCAGAAUGGCACAAAGGAUGAUGUGCCAAGUGGGAUGCCACAUGACGCCCACUUAAGUAGUACUUGAACUCCGUGCAUGCCGAGUACAUGCUUGCCAUGUACUGUCAAGCUGCCAUCAUAAGUAGCUUAUGUAAUAGCCGGCACCCCCGUAUCAACUCUUCUUCUAUUUCAGGAUGUUUAUGAGCUGUUUCGAAUACCAGCCCUGACCAUGUGACUUCUCUUUUUCAGUGUUGCCGGGUAGGCAAAUGUGCUGUCUGAGGACACCCGAAGACAAAGUUGACUAUUUAGCAUACUGAGGUUGUACUUGUACAUGCUGCAUGUGCUGUUGAAAAGUACAUAGCAAUGGUAUGUAAAAGUGUCAGAAAAGUUCCAGGACUGUUGAUUGUAUUCUUGAAUGUGAGUGGAAACGUCCACGGCGAGUUCUUAAGGGAGAGUUAUGGCAGGAGCAUCUGACAGUUCCUGGUCAACAUGAACGCCAUCCCUCCUCACUCGACUUUACUCUGUGGAAGUUUCUUUUACGUCUUUCUUUACAAAUAAGAUCAAGAGGACUGGUUUUGAACAAGUGGAGGACAUCAAGAUGACUGUGACGAGGCAGCUAUGCAUAAAGUACCAAUGAUUGUCACACACACAACGUGUGGUGAAAAUUGUCUUCUGCAUUCGACCCAUCCCUUUGGCCACACCCUGGGAGGUGAGGGGAGCAGUGGGCAGCAGCGGUGCCGCGCCCGGGAAUCAUUUUUGGGGAUUUAAACCCCAAUUCCAACCCUUGAUGAACGUCCAGAUUUAACACACGUUGGAGAUUAAGAUAAAGUGACGUCAAACCUGCAACGUGUCCAGGAUGAUGCGCAGAGACUGAACCUGUCUCCUGACGGCGCUGGAGAAUCGCUCGUAUGUGGCGGCGUCGUACUCGCUCAUGUUGAUCUCCUUCAGCCUGUCGGGAGAGGCACACAUAGCGUCAUCUCGUUGAACUUCUCGUGACAUUAUCUGAUGGCUGCGAGACAUAACUUCUCAAAACAAGCACGUUCCCAUCAGACACAAGACAGUGACACAACGUUGAUACAUGACCCUUAAAACUGACUUCAAAACAACGUUUCAAAAUGGUUGUAUUUAUUUAUAAAUUGAGACAACGUUGUUGUCUAACGUUGGAUCCAUGUUUUUGGUUAGGAAUGGACAACAUUUCAAUGGUCAAAUCAAUGUCACAACUUGACAUUGAUUAAAUAUUGUCAACACCAUGUUGUUUCAAUGUUGUAAUUGUGUUGAAAAAUGUUGGUUGGAAAAUGAAUACAUUUCAAUGGUCAAAUCAACGUCAGAACCCAACAUUGAUUAAAUGUUGUCAAAAAGCA